AGGACCCUCGGCCGCCCGGGCGGAGUGGCCGGCGAGGAGCGGGAGCCGCAGGGCGGGAGCCCGGCGCUGGCGGGGGUGCGGCGCGGCAUGCGGCUGCGGGAGCCCGCUUGAGGGUGUCGGCCCGGGGCCCCGCCAUGGCUGGCAAGGACGGCGGCAACCUGAAGACGGUGAGGCUGUGGCGGGACGCCGCCCUGCGCGCCAGGAAGCUGCGGAGCAGCCUGCGCCAGCUGACCCUCAGCGCAGCCGGGAGCUGCCCCGAGGACGGAGCCGACCCCCUGGAGUCCCCCGACGCUCCCCAGCUGGUGCUGCCGGCCAACAUCGGAGACAUUGAGGUGCUGAACCUGGGGAACAACGGCCUGGAGGAGGUGCCGGACGGGUUAGGGUCUGCUCUGGGGAGCCUGCGCGUCUUGAUCCUGCGCAGGAACCGCUUCGCCCGCCUGCCCCCUGCGGUGGCCGAGCUCGGCCACCACCUCACCGAGCUGGACCUGAGUCACAACCGACUGACCGCCCUGGGCGCAGAGGUUGUGAAUGCGCUAAGGGAGCUGCGCAAGCUCAACCUCAGCCACAACCAGCUGCCCUGCCUGCCCGCUCAGCUGGGCUCCCUCGCCCACCUGGAGGAGCUGGAUGUCAGCUUCAACCGCCUGCCGCACCUGCCCGAGUCCCUUUCCUGCCUCCACCGCCUGCGCACCCUCGACGUGGACCACAACCAGCUCACUGCCUUUCCCAGGCAGCUGCUGCAGCUGCCGGCUCUGGAGGAGCUAGACGUGUCCAGCAACCGGCUGCGAGGCCUACCUGAGGAUAUCAGUGCCCUGCGUGCCCUCAAGAUUCUCUGGCUCAGUGGGGCUGAGCUGGGCACUCUGCCCAAUGGCUUCUGCGAGCUGGCCAGUUUGGAGAGCCUCAUGCUAGACAAUAACGGGCUGCAGGCUCUGCCUGAACAGUUCAGCCACCUUCAGCGACUCAAAAUGCUCAACCUAUCCUCCAAUCUCUUUGAGGAGUUCCCUGCUGCGCUGCUGCCCCUGGCUGGUCUGGAGGAGCUCUACCUUAGUCGCAACCAGCUCACCUCAGUGCCAUCCCUUAUCUCGGGGCUGGGCCGGCUUCUUACCCUGUGGCUGGAUAAUAACCGCAUCCGAUACCUGCCUGACUCCAUUGUGGAGCUGACUGGGCUGGAGGAGUUGGUGCUGCAGGGGAACCAGAUCGCUGUGUUGCCUGACAACUUUGGCCAGCUCUCCCGGGUGGGCCUGUGGAAGAUCAAGGACAACCCACUGAUCCAGCCCCCUUAUGAGGUCUGCAUGAAGGGGAUCCCCUAUAUUGCAGCCUACCAGAAGGAGCUGGCUCAUUCACAGCCUGCGGUGCAGCCACGCCUCAAGCUGCUCCUCAUGGGUCACAAGGCUUCAGGAAAGACCUUGCUCAGGCACUGUCUCACCGAGGACAGAGUAGGGGGAAGCCAAGCAGGAGGUGACAAGGAGAAGAGUUACCCACCUUCUCCUCUGCCUGGGAGCAAGGGCAUCGAGGUGACUAGCUGGACGGCUGAUGCUUCCAGGGGCCUGCGGUUCAUCGUGUAUGACUUAGCUGGUGAUGAAAGUUACGAAGUGAUCCAGCCUUUCUUCCUCUCCCCAGGUGCCCUGUAUGUGUUGGUGGUCAACUUGGCCACCUAUGAACCACGCUGCUUUCCUACCACUGUGGGCUCCUUCUUGCAUCGAGUGGGGGCGCGGGUGCCUCAUGCCGUGGUGUGCAUUGUGGGCACACAUGCUGACCUGUGUGCCGAGCGGGAGUUGGAGGAGAAGUGUCUGGACAUUCACCGCCAGAUUGCCCUGCAGGAGAAGCACGAUGCAGAGGGCCUGAGCCGUCUGGCCCAGGUGGUGGAUGAGGCCCUGGCUCGUGAUUUUGAGCUGCGCUCUGCCAGCCCUCAUGCAGCCUACUAUGGUGUUUCGGACAAGAAUCUUCGGCGGCGCAAAGCUCAUUUUCAAUACCUGCUUAACCACCGGUUGCAGAUCCUCUCGCCCGUGUUGCCUGUUAGCUGCUGGGAUCCCCGAUUGCUGCAGCGUCUUCGGGACAAGCUGCUCUCGGUAGCUGAACACCGAGAGAUCUUCCCCAAUUUACAUAGAGUCCUGCCUCGGUCCUGGCAGGUGCUGGAGGAACUGCAUUUCCAGCCACCUCAGGCACAGCGACUUUGGCUAAGCUGGUGGGACUCAGCACGCCUGGGCCUGCAGGCAGGUCUGACCGAGGACCGGCUGCAGAGUGCCCUCUCCUAUUUGCAUGAGAGCGGCAAGCUGCUCUAUUUUGAGGACAGCCCGGCCCUCAAGGAGCACGUCUUCCACAACCUCACCCGCCUCAUUGACAUCCUCAAUGUCUUUUUCCAGAGAGAUGCUUCCUUGCUGCUGCACAAACUGCUACUGGGGACCAGUGGAGAGGGUGAGGCCGAGGGGGACAGCUUCCCUGCCAUGGCACUGCCCGCUCCGAACCAGGAUGUGCUCCGGGCCACCCAGCUCCAUCAUUACGUGGAGGGCUUUCUGCUGCAUGGGCUCCUGCCAGCCCACGUCAUUCGGUUGCUGCUUAAGCCUCAUGUCCAGGCCCAGCAGGACUUGCAGCUGCUGCUGGAGCUGCUAGAGAAGAUGGGACUCUGUUACUGCCUCAAUAAACCCAAGGGCAAGCCUUUGAAUGGCUCAACAGCUUGGUACAAAUUCCCAUGCUAUGUGCAGAAUGAGGUGCCCCAUGCAGAGGCCUGGAUUAAUGGGACCAACCUAGCUGGCCAAUCUUUUGUGGCUGAGCAGUUGCAGAUCGAAUAUAGUUUCCCCUUUACCUUUCCACCUGGGUUGUUUGCGCGCUACAGUGUCCAGAUCAACAGCCAUGUGGUGCACAGGUCGGAUGGAAAAUUUCAGAUCUUUGCAUAUAGAGGGAAGGUUCCUGUGGUGGUGAGUUACAGACCCGCCAAGGGGGUCCUGCAGCCAGAUACCCUGUCUAUUGCUAGCCAUGCAUCAUUACCAAAUAUAUGGACCGCAUGGCAAGCCAUCACCCCCUUGGUAGAGGAACUGAAUGUCCUGCUUCAGGAAUGGCCUGGCCUGCACUACACUGUGCACAUCCUCUGUUCUAAGUGCCUUAAGAGAGGAUCGCCCAAUCCACAUGCUUUCCCAGGGGAGUUGCUGAGCCAGCCUAGACCAGAAGGAGUGGCAGAGAUCAUUUGCCCCAAGAACGGCAGCGAGAGAGUGAAUGUGGCCUUGGUUUACCCACCUACGCCAACUGUGAUCAGCCCGUGUUCUAAGUAUCUUCAUACUUUCUUGGAAAAUUAAGUGGAAAAGAUAGUCCUUCCUUCCCUUAUGCCAUCAUUUUUACUGUGCCCAGUCUGUGACUUUAGGAGCACCAAGUUUUAAGGGAAGAAUGUUGGUGAGAAGCACAGAAACCAGUGACUUUCCUGGCUGUGGGGUUUCCAUGGAAAGAAUCGUGCAGUGGGGCCCAUGGGGCCCGUCCUCUUCUGUUCACGGCACGCUCUCCGAGUCCCGAGCAUGCACAGUGAGAUGAGAGAAGGUGCACCCGGGUGCUUGAGCCGGCCUGGAGGGGCACGUGAAGGAUGGGAGAGAACAUGGAGCAAACGUUUCACAAACUGAACCUCAGAACUGUGAUCCUCUAAGGAGAGCGCUACUUGAAGAAGAGUUGAAUGGCUUCUCAGGGAUUUUGUUUUCUGUGCACAUAUAAGCCAUAGUUACAGUCCAGGUGGCAGUAUUUAGAGCACUUCAGUUUCAGUUCUGUUCAAUGUGAAAGAGGGAUCGCCCGACGUUCAUUGCUGUUCCGUAACUAGUGUAAGAUAUGUAUAUGUUUAUCUUUAUUUUUAUAAUAUGCGAAUACCUUUAAAUUUAUACAGUUUGAAGCUUCUAGCAUCAGUUAACACUGGGUGCAAUAUUUUGCAUGAGAACUGUGCCAAGAGGGGGCUGAUUUUCUUAUUUAACGUGAGACAUUUUUGUUCUUUAUUCUUUAAUCUGCCUUCUGAGUUUAAAAAGGAAAAAUGAAGUAACUAUCAGCCCCUGGAUUUAAUGUUGAUCAUAGAAGUUACCCGUAAUCAGCAAGAUCCUUUUACAUGUGCUUCAGACCUGUCUCUUUGUUACUGUCCCUGCCUGUGACUUAGGACGGCAGGAUUAGUCCUGUUCUCUCGACACCUAUCAUUAAUGCAGGGCAAAGAUGGGGCACUCUUGGAGGCUAAAGGGAGGAAAGAGUCCAAGAAAAACCUGAGUCUUUCAGUAACGUAGAUCAUCAGGAGUCAGUUCUGAAUCAUGCGAGGGGCUCUACUAACGUGCACCUUGCUUUUCUAGAACAGAUUCUAAUGUCUAGCAGAGUGCAUUGUGAAUCCUCCACAUCUGGCUGUGGAACCUUCAGGCAGAAAGCCUUCAGAUGGGAGCCUGGUCCCACACCUGCCAUUUAUUGCACACAGAAUCUCUUACUAUCCAAUUUACCAUAAAGAACUGGUAAGACCCUUGUUCUGAAAUCUUUAGGGGGUAAAACUUAAAAAGCAAACCCAACAAAUUGCUCUCCAGUCUCCUACAGCAUGUGCUGCAGAAGUAACACGUUCUCUGAAGAACGCACAGACUGCUGACGUCUGCCUCCUCCACCUACAGGGAGAAAAUGUGUAAAACCAGCCGUUUCUCACCAGUGCCAGACGAGAAAAGCAACUCCGCUGGUGUUACUAUUUCACGUCAUUUAUAAAGUAUUGACUCUUGGAAUGCCACAAGACACGGUCUCCACAUAUUUUAAAAUGAAAAUAGGUUACUGCGUUUUCAGACAUCUCAAGUUGAUUUUAUGGCAAACUUCGUGCCCCAGGAGUUAAUGUCACUGAUUCCAGAGCCCUAGUUAUGAUUUCCUGUGAUUUUAAAACCAAAUCAGAUCGGGCUGGUUUUCUGUUUUUACUAUUUGAUUGUGACACCUUAAGUUUGAGAAUUCAUUUUCCUUUUAGAACACAGUCACAAAAUUCACCUGGUUAAUCCUUUAGUCAGAGUUCUUUGUGUGUGUGUGUGUGUGUGUGUGCGCGCGCAUGUGCGCACAUGGGUGUAAAUGUAAACAGAAUGUUAACAUUUAAUUGCUUUGUGGGCCACUGAAUUGUUAGGCAAUAAGAAUUUUUUUUAAUUGAAUGAGAAAGUUCCUUACACCAACCAGUUCUGCCAGUCUUUGGAAAAAAAGCAUUCAAAUGUAUGACUUUGGGCUCCCUUCCCAGAAGGCCUGUGAAAUGAAAUGCUGCCCCUUUGGGUGAUACAUCCUGCAAAGUGUUUGCUAUUUUCAUGAACGUCAAUGCCCAGGUUCUUAGUAGCUGUCGUUUUUCACACGUGAUGUUUUAUGUUGUCAUCUGAACCCUGGAGAAGCAAUGUAAGAGCUAAUCUUGGUAUCCAGUGUGUUUUGGCCUAAGGGUCAGCAUGAUAGAGGGUCCUGUGACCACAGUAAGCGCCGGAAAAGCAUGAGAACUUGCUUCAGCAUGGGGAGAGGGUGGAGAUACAAAACUCUGCUCUGCAGGAGUUUUUGCCAUCUAUGUAGGAAAUUCCAUUUUCUCUUUCAACACCCAGGAAGACUCAACAACCAGCCGAGGCUGACAAGCAAUUCACUAAGCACAAGAGGAAUCUUUUUCCAACCCAGGAGUCCCUUGCCUCCCAAACAAAUGCCCUCCAAGUUUGUUAUGGUUUCUAUUCCUGCAGCUUGUGGUAUCAAAGCCACUUCCUGGAAUUGUGAAAGUGCUGCCAGAAUAAAUGUUUUCCCCCCUUCUAAGAAAAAAGAAAAAUGACAGUGCUCAUAUUUGAUGCUUGUGCAUUGGACUCUCUUUUGAAUUAAUAAAGAGGAAAGGGACUGAUGUGAUUCCUGAUGGCAUGUAUUGUUUUUUUUCGUGCCACAAUCUGUGAAUUGUAAUUGUAGUUUCCCAGUUUGUUGUCGUAACCAAAUUUUUUUUAAAAAAGAAAAAAAUUCAAUAAAAAUGCAAAGAAAUGGCUAAGCAAUAA